CCUACGGGAGGCAGCAGUGGGGAAUCUUGGACAAUGGGCGCAAGCCUGAUCCAGCCAUGCCGCGUGAGUGAAGAAGGUCUUCGGAUUGUAAAGCUCUUUUACCAGGGACGAUAAUGACGGUACCUGGAGAAUAAGCCCCGGCAAACUUCGUGCCAGCAGCCGCGGUAAUACGAAGGGGGCUAGCGUUGUUCGGAAUUACUGGGCGUAAAGCGCACGUAGGCGGGCGAUUAAGUCAGGGGUGAAAUCCCGGGAGCUCAACUCCGGAACUGCCUUUGAUACUGGUCGUCUAGAGAUCGGAAGAGGUGAGUGGAAUUCCCAGUGUAGAGGUGAAAUUCGUAGAUAUUGGGAACGAACACCAGUGGCGAAGGCGGCUCGACUGGUCCGAUACUGACGCUGAGGUGCGAAAGCGUGGGAGCGAAACAGGAUUAGAUACCCUGGUAGUCCACGCCGUAAACUAUGGAAGCUAGCCGUCUAGUCAGCGUGUCUGAGUGGUGGCGCAGCUACGCGAUAAGUCGUCCCGUCCGUCGGGUAGGUACGGUACGGCGAGAGUUAAACGUACGAAGGUAAGUAGUACGCGUUGAGACGUUGCGACGGCGACGACGAGGGAGAGG
rnacentral:rRNA from 1 species